GUGAUGUGAUAGACGCAGCAUGUAUCAGUGGCAGUGAUUGAAAUCCAAAGUCGUUUUUUUUUGUUUUUUUGUAGUGAAAAAGGAACAUUUUUUGAUGCUUCAUUUGGAAAACACAAAGUAAAGAGAAUCUAGAGCGUAAUUAUUUCUGCAAUAUGUUGACAUCUAUGCUUCACAAGUGCCCGAAUGGAGUCUGUCGUGAGAUAUCAUAAACGUUGGUACAAAUGAGACUGAGCCCCACUCUGACCCAGGUUUAGUGCUUGUGUGUAGCUUUGAGGUAACUACUGCAUUGCGGCCUGGGUCUUCGUAGCCCCUUGCACUUUUGUGGCACGUCCAGCAAAGUCAGAAACUUGAAAUAGCUGCCGAUUGAAUACUGCGCGUGUCAUUUUCGCUGUCUGCGCCACCGCUACGUUUCAAAUUAGCGAUUGCCGGUGGUGCCUGAACGUUUCACGAGGCGAGUCUGUCCCUACUGUGCCCCUGUACUAGUGAUCUUUUACUGUGCAGUCCUACGCGGAUAGUCCUGUAAUUUAUAUUGGAGGCUGCUUUCUGACCGACGUCUGCUCCGAUCGUGAUGGACCAGGCAAGACAGUCUCCAUGCUUUUGACGACCGGUUGCUAGACAACAGAAAUAGAGGCGGAUCAGCUUGAAUAUAUGGGCAUUCGCAUAUAGAUAUUCAUAUACGAAAGUGUAAAUUUCGGCGACCGCCAAUCAAACGAAAAAGUACGGACCUUUUUCACAACUCGCCGAAGGGUGGCGGGGACCAGUUAUGCUGGAGAGGGUCGGUCGAUUGCCCGACGACGGAAGCUCAUGCGUUGACCUCUGAAGAGCGACGUGUGUAUUCUUAUAUACUAUUAGGUUACUGGAUUGACAAAACCUUGCGAUCAAGAGACGUAGCACCCUCCGCAUGUGAUGCAGAAGCAGUUUGGUAAAGGAAGCGGAGUAAACUUUGCUUGCCCAGCAGAAUUUAGAUCUGACUUUGUGAAGGUUUCGACGCGUCGAACACUGCUACAAUACUGAGUUCGAUAAGACCUAUACUGGUAAAAGAUCAUGCUUUCGACAGACUCUGUUCAUUUCAGUCCGUCAAGCGACGAAAACGAUGCAAAUGAGUCUUACUACACAGUCGGGGUAGACGUGGUGCACUCUCCGACUCGAAAAAACUUCCCUUCUCUUUCGAACGACAAUAACAGAAAUUUCUUAGAAGAGGUCCCUGAGAUAAUCGGUCCACCGACUGAGUACGCGAGCCCCUCACAGACAUCGAUCCCCACGCCAUCGCCUUAUUGGCUUUGUAGAUUUGAUAUCGAUAAAGCCGUUAUGAGCAAUACCGAAUUCACGCGAUUACAGGAUCCAAGGCUUACAGUGAGCAGGCAUUCGAACGUACCGUUUGGCUUUUAGCGUCUGCGAGGAUGCGCUGAUACUCAAGAACGCACCCAUCACGCUCGCGCAGCUUCCUCGGCUGACAAUGGCACUGUAGCUUCAUUUUCUAGCCGCUUAUCCGACUCUAAAAGACGUUCCCACUGCUAGGACGAAUGAGGUGCCGCAAUCACCUAACGCCCCCGAUCAGAACUGCCAAAGAAAGGAAAUCGUUCAAAGGAAAUUGCCGAACCUUUUUUGUCCUCUCUAAGAACCGUAAGGUGACUUUGAAGGCGAGGGGAACCGAGGCACGGCAGAAGGGGGAAUGCGGUGCAAAAACCGAUCUAGCUCAUCUUUGCGUGCUCCAUUCACCCGGCUCGAUUCGGGUACCAUGAAAAGGGUUGUGUGCUACGUCUAAUCGAGAUGAAAUCGGGCAAGAUCAGGAGGCGUAUCUUAAAGGGUAGUUUGGAACCGACCUUAUUUCUACGGUGCCAUUUGAUUAUUCCGUACUUGUUUUUUCUUACAAACCGCUACAUGUAAGUUCAUUGAAAUAUAAGUUUUGCAACUUGUGAACAACGCAGGUAAUUAGGCAUUUAAACAUUUCUGUGCUUCCGCGCAUUAAUUAAGUGCAUCAUAGAUAGAAGGAUGGGCCA